AUUGAACGCUGGCGGCAUGCCUUACACAUGCCAGUCGAACGGCAGCACGGGUGCUUGCCCCUGGUGGCGAGUGGCGAACGGGUGAGUAAUACAUCGGAACAUGUCCUGUAGUGGGGGAUAGCCCGGCGAAAGCCGGAUUGAUACCGCAUACGAUCUACGGAUGAAAGCGGGGGACAUUCGGGCCUCGCGCUAUAGGGUUAGCCGAUGGCUGAUUAGCGAGUUGGUGGGGUAAAGGCCUACCAAGGCGACGAUCAGUAGCCGGUCUGAGAGGACGACCAGCCACACUGGAACUGAGACACGGCCCAGACUCCUACGGGAGGCAGCAGUGGGGAAUUUUGGACAAUGGGCGAAAGCCUGAUCCAGCAAUGCCGCGUGUGUGAAGAAGGCCUUCGGGUUGUAAAGCACUUUUGUCCGGAAAGAAAACCUUGGCCCUAAUACGGGCGGGGGAUGACGGUACCGGAAGAAUAAGCACCGGCUAACUACGUG
rnacentral:rRNA from 1 species